UGCGCUUCCUAGGUAAGCGCUCUACCACUGAGCUAAAUCCCCAGCCCCAAGAAUUUCUAUUGUCUCAAAUCCAUGUCCAGGCAAUCUUCUCUAGUGGAUACCCCACAACAAGGUAUAUAGAUGGUGACCAUCUAAACUAUGUAUUUUAGUAAAUGGAUAUGAGUAGCUAAUAAUAUCCCUAAAAGAGGAGAUUAUUUGGGGAAUUUUUAAAAGUGUGCAUAUUGGAUGAGUUAGGAUAGACAUCAAAGGUAAAAUUUUAAAUUACUGCAAUUAUAGGAUUUUUAAUUUUGAUAAGUGUUUUUCAGUGUUUCAUGGUGAAAUUAUGUUUGAAUCUACAAUAAGAAUUUAUUAUUUUGUAUAUGUUUGCCAGUACAUGAAGACCCUCACCUGCCCACGCACAUACUUGUGGAAGCCAGAGAAAGUUGUACCCUUUCCUUUCACUCUCGGUGUUACGCCUGAGUCUGUAUCUGUCACUGAACCUGGAGCUGGACUGGCAGGCUGCAAACUCCAGCGAUCUUCUGUCUCUACCUCAACAAUUCUGGGACUACAGAAGCCAUUGUGGCCACCAGCUUUUUACAUGGCUGCUAGGUAGUUAGACGAAGGUCCUCAUGCUUCCCCCUGCAAGCAGUUUAACCCCCUGAGCCAUCUCAACUCUAGGAAUUAUUGCUUUUAGGAUAUAUCUUUUUACAAUGGAUAAUUUCUCUAGUAAAGAGAACUCUUUGUUAAUGCUUUAUGUCACUCUGGCUGGCUUGGAACUCUGUGUAGACCUGGCUAAUUUCGAACUUGUGCUGGGUCUCCUGCCUUCUGGGCGCUGGGAUUACAGAUGUGUCCCACCAAGAGUGGCAAGUACACCCCCACAUUUUUUCCAAAGAGAAAAUAUUUCAUUAGUAUAUCAUCUUGAAAAAUGAGUGCCAAAGGCAGGGUAUGAUACAGCUGCGUGCACGUUGCUUGUCUAGGAAAGCGCAAAGUCCUGGUUUUGAUACUCGGCACCUUAAAGUAGUUGAGAUUUUUUUCUGGCAGAAUUUCAGAAGCAACUUGGCGAUAGAUUCCACGCUGGACCUCUGGGUGCCGCUGUCGUUCAGUCCGUGGCCAUUCUGACCCAGUGAUCCCCGCGGGCUUUCGUAAACACAUCCCUAAAAUGCUCGGUCCUGCGCUCAGUUUGAAUCUCUUAGCGCCUUUUCUCCUGCUUUGCUGGCCAUCAUCUCCAUCAUGUUUAAAGACUCUGAGCGAGGAAAGCUGGGAGUAGCUGCAGGAAGUAAAUUCGCGUCUCAACGGCUGCCGGAGUUUUCCUUUUUUAUCUUGGCAUUUCCUUGGGGGUUAUUCUUAGGAAGAAAAUAUCCCUGGAUGAUCCAUACCUGUAAAGUCUUUGACUCUGACUUCACAUCUAGUUAAAUGUGACUUAUACCAUAACAAUGAAGGAACACAACUGUAAGUACCCAUGUGUAUUAGAAUGUCAUUUUUUUUGGAGUUUGUUAUACUUACAUUGAGUAUUGUUUAUGUUUAUUUGACAUGCUGAUGUGACUUGCUUCAGUCUGCAAUUUGCAAGUUGAGCCAGGGUUUUUCUUUUUUCUUUUUUUUUUUCUUUUCUUUUUUUCGGAGCUGGGGACCGAACCCAAGGCCUUGCGCUCGCUAGGCAAGCACUCUACCACUGAGCUAAAUCCCCAACCCCUCUUUUUUCUUUUUUUUAAUAGAUUCAUUUAUUAUGUAUAAGUACACUGAAGCUGACUUCAGACACACCAGAAGAGGGCAUCAGAUCCCAUUACAGACGGCUGUGAGCCACCAUGUGGUUGCUGGGAUUUGAACUCAUGACCUCUGGAAGAGCAGUCAGUGCUCUAACCGCUGAGCCAUCUCUCCAGCAAGAGCCAGGGUUCUUAAGGAUGGAAUGUGACCUGGGCCUGGCCCAGAUGUGGCCAGGAGCAGCAAGAUAUGCCAUGAUGCCAUACGCCAUCUUUUUUCAUACCCACUGUUUGUGACAUCUAGCAUGAGGCUUUAAAUUAUUUGAGUUCCCAUCAAGAGAAAACCAAGAUUUGCACAUCCAAAGUAAUGAUAUUCACUAAAAUGAUGUAUCUGGUAUCUCCACAGGCCAUUGCUUUCAGGAAUAAAACAAUUCCUGUGAGACAAACAAAAGGGGGACUCAAGAGUGAGAAUGUAAUCUUAGGUUCCAAAGAUUUUCUCUCUGGAAUGAAGAUGAUUGUAGUAGUUUGGCCCAGGGAGUGGCACUAUUUGGAGGUGUGGUCUUAAAGUAGGUGUGUCACGGUGGGCAUGGGCUUUAAGAUCCUCAUCCUAGCUGCCUGGAAGUCAGUCUUCUCCUAGCAGCCUUCAGAUGAAGAUGUAGAACUCUCAGCUCCUCCUGCACCGUGCCUGCCUGGAGGCUGCCCUGCCCCUACCUUGAUGAUGAUGGACUGAACUUCUGAUUCUGUAAGACAGCCCUAUUAAAUGUUGUCCUUUAUAAGAAUGAUCUUGGUCAUAGUGUCUGUUCACAGCAAUAAAACCCUAAGACAGAAGUUGGUACCAGGGAUUAGUGUAUUGCUGUGAUAGGCCUGACUAUGCUUUUGUUUGGAGGAAUGUUGUUUGGGACUUUGGAAAGCGGUGCGAUGCAUUAAGUGAGGAUUAAUGGUUUAUCCUAGUAGGAAUAUGGAAGACUUUGUUGCUGAGGGUGAUUGGAUCUGUGGAUGCUUGGAUGUGGUGGUUUCAGUGGAGAAGAAUUUUAGUAUGUGACCAAAACUAUGUUCUUGUGUUAGUCUGGUGAAGAACGUGGCUGCUUUUUGCCCUCGUCUGAAGAGUCUGCCUGAGGCUAAGGUGAAGGGAGUCAAAUUAAUUGCAUUGAAAAAGGAGGUCUUAAAACAACCCAGUUUAGACUGUGUGCUAUAGAGUUUAGUCUCAUGAAGAGCACUUUGAUGAGGGGUAGCAAGCUUAAAAAGAGCAAAUACAAAAUGUAUGCUUGAAGUAUUAAAGGGGCACUAAGAAGUAGAAUGGAAUUUUAUCUCCUUUGUUCUAGGAGAUAAAAUUAAGGGAGCAGUGACAUGGAAGCAAGUUUCAGGCAUGGCGGUAGAGGCAAGAAGAUCUCUGAGUUCAAGGCCAGUCUGGUACAGAGCCACUUCCAAGUAGAAAAAAAUAGGUCAAGAUACAGUCGUACAUGCCUUUAAUCCCAGCACUCAGGAGACAGAGCCAUGCAGAUCACUGAAUUCAAGGCCAAUCUACAGAGCAGGUUCCAGGACUGCCAAGUUUAGGCAGUGAAGGAGUUAGAAAACAGAAAGCUGGUGAGGAUGUGAUAGAACAAGGGUGGCCAUGUUCCAACUCCAGCAAGCAGCAGAACUCAGCAUCUUCUGCCAUGUGCCUCUGACUUUAGAAUCAAGAGUGGAAGGAAACUACUGGAACAAUUGAUGCUGCUCAGCCAGAGCUAAGAAAUUAGUGACGAUUAAAAAGAGGCUAACAUCCCUCAGGUUAAAUCUUCUGGGAGGAUUUCUGAGAGCACAAAGAAAGUAUGUUCCAAAGAUAGCCAAAGUUGUACAUGUGCUUCAUCUGGACUUGAUAAUGUGUAAGAAUCACCCAGGUGGUACUGGUUUUGAAGGCAUGAACACAUGAAUGUGUCAUGAAGAACAGCUGAGGCUUGGCACUGAGAGAGGCCAGGGCAUUGGUGAAGGUGCAGCCUUAGUUACAAUUGAUUGCCCAGGACUGAAGGGAUCAGGCAAAGAAUUUGAGGCUUGACACAUGAAGAGAGCCUGUGAGAGGCUAUUGGUGAAGCCUAGUUCCAGCAGAAGACCCCACGGUAUUGGAGAGACCAGUACCAUGGGAUGAUCACCAAAAACAGUAGCAGCAAUGGAGUGGAUCAACCUGAGCUUAGAGUGCUACAGAGGGCAGAGCUGCAGAAGUGACCCAAGCCCUUUGAUCAUGUGUGGAUCUCAGACAUUGGAACAAGAAACUGAAAUUUGAAGUUACCUUGGAGACCCCGAAAGAUGGAGAGAUGCCAGGGCUGUGGGAUAUGUACUGAGGAAAGCUGCUCACAGGGAGGGGAACCAGCUCAGGAGAAACAAGUUUGUUGCAGUCAACAAAGAUGAAAGGAGUUGGAGAUCUGGACUGCUUUGAUAUCAGACAUGGAGAUGCAGAGUUUGGGAAUUUACCCAGAUGGUUUUUGGUCUGUUUGGUCCAGUAUUUACUCACUGUGACAUUUUGGAAUGGUGGUAUAUCCUGUGAUGUUUAAGGUAUGUGUUUUGCUUUUGACUUUAAGGGAUUACAAUUUAGUGAUUGAAUCUCAGAGGAGACCUAGAACUUAAGAUUUUUUUUCUUUUUUUCAGAGCUGGGGACCAAACCCAGGGCCUUGCGCUUGCUAGGCAAGUGCUCUACCACUGAGCUAGAAAUUAAGAUUUUUAAAUAUUGUUGAGACUGUGAUAGACUAUAGGGACUGCUGAAGUUCAGCUAAAUGUAUUUUCCAUUAUGCUGUGUCUAGGUAUGGCCCCAUAGACUCAGGUUUGAACAAGCCUACGGGGGCCAGGGACUGGAAUACGUUUGGCCCAGGGAGUGGCAUUAUUUGGAGGUGUGGUCUUGAAGUAGGUGUGUUACUGUGAGCAUGGGCUUUAAGACCCUCAUUUUAGCUGCCUGGAAGCCAGUAUUCACCUAGCAGCAUUCAGAUGAAGAUGUAGAACUCUCAGCUCCUCCUGCACCAUGCCUGCCUGGAUGCUGCCAUACUCCAAUUAAAUGUUGUCCUUAUAAGAGUUGCCUUGGUCAUGGUGUCUCUUCACAGCAGUAAAAUCCAAAGACAAUAAUUAAGUCAAAGGUGAGUUAUUUGUUUAUAUCCUACGGCAGUUUUUUCCCCCCACAUAGAAGUAAUGAGGCAUACAUGAAUCUGUAACUGGAAAGGCCUAAAAUUAGUCUCUAUAUAGACGUGAAUCAUAAUAAGAGAAAAUAUAAAGCUUUAAUAGCUAUUUAAUUAGAUGGUUAGUGAACAAAUUUCUAAGUAGCAACCUGUAAUAACUAUAUUUCCCAAGACUGGUUCUUACAGAAUUCCUUAAUAUGAGCUUAGAACAUGAAUUUAAAUAACUUGGACCAUUGUAUUAGAAAGUAAGACAGGCUGUUUCCGUCAUCUUGGUGCCUUUGGAGGCCUGCUGGGAACAGGACUCCUAAAAAAAAAAACCAAGUAUGUCUGGAAGGCUGUGGUGCAAGGCCAUUUUUGCUGGCUACAAGCUAGGCCUCCGGAACCAAAGAGAGCACAUGGCUCUUCUUAAAAUUGAAGGCGUUGGGGUUGGGGAUUUAGCUCAGUGGUAGAGCACUUGCCUAGCAAGCGCAAGGCCCUGGGUUCGGUCCCCAGCUCCAAAAAAAAAAAAAAAAAAAAAAAAAAAAUUGAAGGCUUUUAUGCCCAAGAUAAAACUGAGUUCUACUUAGACAAGAGGUGUGCUUGUGUGUACAAAGCAAAAAACAAUACAGUGACUCCUGGAGGUAAACCAAAUAAAACCAGAGUGAUCUGGGGAAAAGUAAUUUGAGCCCACGGAAACAGUGGCAUGGUUCAUGCCAAAUUCUGAAGCAACCUUCCUGCAAAGGCCACUGGACACCGAAUCUGUGAUGCUAUACCCAUCCUGGAUUUAAACUAAUGGAGAGUAAAUAUUACCCAUCCUUGAUUUAAACUAAUGGAGAGUAAAUAUUACCCAUCCUGGAUUUAAACUAAUGGAGAGUAAAUAAAUAAAAGUAUAUUUGUGGGGCUGGGGAUUUAGCUCAGUGGUAGAGCGCUUACCUAGGAAGCGCAAGGCCCUGGGUUUGGUCCCCAGCUCCGAAAAAAAGAACCAAAAAAAAAAAAAGUAUAUUUGUGAUCUUGUUUAAAAAAAGAAAAAAGAAAGUAAGUAAGACAGGAGUCUUAAAUACACAUUAGUUUAGAUUAUGGUUUUAGGAAGGAGAACUAAGUCAUAUAGCAGGGUGGUCUUAGAGUGUCACUUAAUAGUUAUAAAUAGAUGGACCAAGCUGAGCUUUAGGUCCCAUGUGGUAAGUUUGAAAGAUCCCCGUGUGACUUAGUGCAGCCAUUUCUUAAGUGAUAUUGGAAAAGCUGUGCUGACAUAGCUGUGGCCUUGUCCUGGGAGCUCCAGGAGGGGAAACAUCUGCCAAGUCAGAUAUCCUUGGCACCGGAAUAGUUGAGCUAAUAAAGCUGUGUGGCCUUGUAAUGACUAUAUAUAAUAUAUAUAUAUAUAUGUCAAUCAGCAGAAAUAUAUAUAUAUAUAUAUAUUUCUGCUGUUCGAGGCUCUUCACAUCCCUCCUGCGUGAGGACAGUGUCAAGCCCCAGCGCACUGGUAUCCCGAGUAAACCUCUUAUUUUUACAUCAAGAGUGAGUCCCGUGUGUUCGUGGGGUGGUGGGUGUCCUCAGGAUUGGAGUGAGUCUCCUCAAUCUGAGGGUCUUUCAGUUAAAGCAGCAAACCAAAAAAAUAAUGCACUAGCUUUCUACCGUUUCAGCUACUUAGGCUGUGUUGGGGAGGGGGGGGGCUUCCGGAAGUGAUUUCUGGGAGUGUGACGGUGACAGGUGAGGUAAUCUCCAAGGAGCAAAGUCAACAACCUCAGAGCAUUCAAGGUCUGAUUGGAGCCAGUACGGAGCUCUAGGACAGACUCACUGCGCAUGUGCAGAGUAGCGAGGUUGGCAAGAUGAAGGUUUAAUUGUGAUCCUGGUUUUGAUCAGAAUUAAAGUGGGUUGGGGAUUUAGCUCAGCGGUAGAGCGCUUGCCUAGCGAGCACAAGGCCCUGAGUUCGGUCCCCAGCUCCGAAAAAAAGAAAAAAAAAAAAAAGAAUUAAAGCGAAGUAUAGCCCGAGGCAUUCUGAGGAACUGCAGGCAAAUGCCAGGUAGGCCAUUGAUGCUAGAAGAGAAGGUCAGAGGCACGCGUGUGUGCACGUACACGUGUGUGUUUGUGUGUGUGUGUACUCAUGCGAGCGUCUGUGUGUACAUGUAUGCGCAUAUAUGCGUGUGUGUAUGCGUAUGCAUGUGUAUGUUUGCAUAUGUGGGUGCGCGCGCACGUGUGCCUGUGUAUGUUUGCAUAUGUGUGUACGCGCGCGCGUGUGUUUGUGUGUGUGCGUGCGCGCGUGCGCGCGCCUCAGGGAGCAGGUUGAGGCUUCCAUUGCUGCUGCGUUCCGUGGCGAGAAUGAUUCUAUUCCUCCAUUCUUUGGUGACGCCUGCGGAUUAGAUGAUGGAGCAUCUGAACAUCAUAGCGUUCUGGCCCGAGAGAGCAAAUGCCCGGCCACAUCGCUCAGGAGUAAAACAGUUUCUGUGAGAGACAAAAAAAGGUCGAUGUGUUCUUAGGUUCCAAAGAUUUCUCCCUGGAAUCAGGACAGAAAGACAUCAUGACAUAUUGAGUUUCUUAAUAUAGCAGAAGAUGAUGGAAUCAUCCAAGGUAAUCAAACCAUCAAACCUGAUGUAGCUUUCAAGCUAGACCAAGAAGAGUCACGGAUAAUGGAUGAAGAAAUCCUAACUCAAAACUUUUUAGAAAUCUGGCUAAACAGUAAUUCUGAGCCAUGGCCUCAAGAUAAACAAGACAAGCUUAAAAGGAUGGAAAGAGGCAAUGGAGAUAAUGUUUUGGAGAAACUGUUUCAGCCAAGCAUGAACUCUGUUUAUUUAGAAAUGAGAUUCCAUAUAUGUGGUACAAGUGAAAAGAAUGUAAAAAAUCCUUUAAAUUUUUUUAUUCUAAAAAGUAACUGUGGAAGAAUAAAAAGUAAAGUGAGUAAGAAAUUAUUAUUUUAUCUAAAAUUUGACAGAUCCUACAGUAAAAGAAAAUUCCAUGAUUGUAAUAAGUAUAGAAAAGCAAACAGUAAUGAGUCACAGCUUGUUACAAACCAAAUGACACAUUCUGGGAUCUAUUUAUGUAUGGAAUGUGGUAGGAUUUUUAACAAGAAAUCACAGCUUACUGUACACCAGAGAAAUCAUACAGGAGAGAAGCCCUAUCAGUGCAAUGGAUGUGGGAAAACUUUUGCACAAAAGUCCCUGCUUGCUCUUCACCAAAAGAGUCACUCAGUAGAACCAGAUGGUUGUGAUGAACGUCAGAAGGCUUUCAGUGGGAAGUCCCUGGUCAUUCAGCAACAGAGAACUCAUGCUGGACAGAAGCUCUGCACACAUGGGAAAGCCUACAGCAGGAAGUCACAGCAAAACAGGCAGGAGAUGAUUCACACAAUGGGUAAACCUUAUCGUUGCAGUGACUGUGGGAAAGCUUUCUCUCAGAAAUUGAAACUCAUCAUUCACCGAAGAACACAUACAGGAGAAAAACCCUAUAAAUGUAGUGAGUGUAGAAAAGCUUUCUUUUGGAAUUCACAACUUAUUACUCAUCAGAGGUCACAUAGAGGGAAGAAACCUUAUGUAUGCAGUAAGUGUAAAAAAGCCUUCAGGAGGAACUCACUUCUCAUUAGGCAUCAAAGAAUUCAUGCAGUAGAGAAACCACAGAGAAGCAGGGAAUGUGGUGAGGCCUUCAUCAGAAAGGCACAACUUACUAAACAUCGCAUGACCCAUACAGGAGAGAAGAGCUAUCAGUGUUAUGACUGUGAAGAAGCCUUUUUCAAGAAGUCACAGCUAAUGAGACAUCAAAAAAGUCACUUAGGGGAGAGACCACUUAGGUGUACUGAGUGUGGAAAAACAUUCCCUGAAAAGUCACAGCUCCUGACACAUCAAAAAAGUCACUUAGAGGAGAGACCACUUAGGUGUACUGAGUGUGGAAAAACAUUCCCUGAAAAGUUACAACUCCUGACACAUCAAAAAAGUCACUUAGGGGAGAGACCACAUAGGUGUACUGAGUGUGGAAAAACAUUCCCUGAAAAGUUACAACUCCUGACACAUCAAAAAAGUCACUUAGGGGAGAGACCACACAGGUGUGCUGAGUGUGGGAAAUCAUUCCCUGGAAGGUCGCAGCUCCUGACACAUCAGAGAACUCACACGGGGGAAAAACCUUACAAAUGCAGUGAGUGUGGAAGGGGCUUCUCUCAGAGGUCAAGCGUUGUAUCACACCAGAGAACACAUACGGGUGAGAAACCCUACAAAUGCGGUGACUGUGGGAAAGCCUUCACUGAGAAGUCAAGCCUCCUUCAUCACAAGAGAACCCACACUGGGGAGAAGCCUUUUGAAUGCAGUGACUGUGGGAAAGCCUUUGCAUGGAAGCCACAGCUCCUUCGGCAUCAGAGAAUUCACACGGGGGAGAAACCCUUUGAAUGCAGUGAGUGUGGGAAAGCAUUUGUUCAAAAGGUGCAACUCAUUAAGCAUCAGAGACAUCAUACAGGAGAGAAGACCUAUAAAUGCAAUGGUUGUGAAAAAGCCUUUUUUGAGAAGACACAGCUUAUGAUCCAUCAGAAAAUCCAUACGGGAGAGAGGCCCUAUACUUGUGGUAAAUGUGGGAAAUCUUUCACUAGAAAAUCACAUCUAAUGAGGCACGAGCCAAUUCACACAAGAGUUAAGUCCUAUAGGUGCAGUCAGUGUGGUGGUAUCUUCAACAAGAAGUCACACCUCAUCAGACACCAAAAAGAUCAUACUGUAGAGGCCAUAUAAAUGCAGGGAGCUCGGAUAGAUGCUGUCAGGUUCAGAUGUCCCCCUAAUACUUCUUGAGAAUAUGCAGAAGAGUCCAUCAAGACCAUGACUGCUGAAAAAGCUUUAGGAGUUGGGGAUCAGAAUGUGGAAAAGAGACUGUAGAGACAGACCCUGUGAAAAGUCGUUUUUCCAGAAGACACAGCUUAGUGCACCUGAGGUAAAUUAUGGUGACACUGGUUUCAGUGCCUCUAGUGAUAGUGCUAGAGCCUCUACAGAAGUUACAAGCAUUGAACAGGAGAAAAGCCAUACAGCAGGCAAACCAGAAAUCUCAUCCGAAAGGGACAACCCAUUGACCACUAGAGAAUGCUAACAAAGAAUGCCCUGAAUAAGAGUUCAAACUGAUGAUUCAAAGACUGUGAUUAGUGUGAUCCUACUCAAGUGAUUUUGGUGAGGGAGUUGUGUUCAUUACAUAUAAAUUAUUUCCAAAAAGUUGCCUGUUUUAACCAGCAAAUGUGUUUAUGGAGACAUCUGCUUGCUACUGUGGAGGAGUAAUAGACCAGAUGGACUCUCCUGCCUUAAACAGCUAGAAACUGUACAAUAUAUGUGAAAUAUUGUUUAAUGUUUUUAAUUGCCAUCUAGAAGUUGUAUGUAUUUUGGAGGUAUAAAGUAUGUCAUUUCAAUACACAUUCAUAAUGUGCAAAGAUCAGACCUGGAUAAUUGAUAUAAUGUGUAUUAUAUCAAUUUAUAUAUUUAUCAUUUUUCUGUUAGGAAUAUUCAAAAAUCCUAAAAACAACAAAAAAAGCUUUAUGUUGUUGAGAUGAGUCUCACAUAGCCUCAUCUGGCCUGGAACUCCCUAUGUAGACCAGACUGGCUUUGAACUCACAAAGAGAUGCCUGCUGCUACCACCGGAGUGCUGGAAUUAAGGACACGCACCAGCACACCUGGCUUCUAUUGGCUAAUUUUAAAAGCUUGGUUUUGUUUUGUGCAGUUACAUUGCUGUGCUGUGGAGCAUUUGAAGUGAAUCCCUGUGGUUGUGCACCUGAACUUGUUUACUGUCCUCUACCCAUUCUCUUUCUACACCCUCCCCAGGUUCUAGUAAUAACUUUCAUUUUCUCCUUUAAGAUCUUUAUCAGUCUUUAAAAUCUACAUGUGCUGUUUGUCUCUCAUUAUUGGACUUAUAUCAUGUCACAUGAUGUCCUUGACUUCCAUAUGUAUUUCUACAAAUCACCAAGUAUGUGUGAGUAUGUGUGUGUGUGGGUGCUUGUGUCUGUGUCUGUGAGUGAUUUCUCAAGCUUUUGGCUAAGAUCAACUGUAAUUAAUAGAGUAUCAAUAAAUACAAACUUGGUGAAACCUGAGAGUCGAGAUACAUUCCCAAGGUCAACUGUGAUACACGUCUGUAAUUCUGUUCUUUUAAGCAAGAGGAUUGCAGCAUGUCCCAAGAUAGGUUGGGCUACACAGUAAGACCUUGUUUUCCUUGUUUUUGUUUGGUUUUUAAAGUGUGUGUGUGUGUGUGUGUGUGUGUGUGUGUGUGUGUAAACUUUUAAAAAGUUCAAAUGGAACUAGUAGAGAUCAAAACAUUACUGAAAAGAUUUUUUUAAAUGCUUAAAGUGGAAUUUAAAAAAAGCAGUUUGGACAUUGUAAAUAAACCAGUGAAUUUGAUAAGCAAAAAUAACAAUUAUUCCAAUGAUAUAUAGAAAGAGAAGACAUAACUAAAAAAAAAAAGAAAGAAAGAAAGAAAAGAAAGGAAGCCUUUGAAGUUUGGCAUAUAAGCUAGUUGGCAUAGCAUUUAUCUGGCCUGAGUGAAACACUGGUUUAACUGCCUGCACUGCCAAAUGAGAAAAAAGAAAGUGUUUGAAGCUAGAUUGUCUCAUCAGCCUUUUGUUAAGUGGGACAGGAGGAUAGUGACUGUGUCCCAAAAACCUAAAAACCAUUUAAGGAAGAGCUGAAAAUGUUCCAAAUACGAUUUUUUUUUUUUUUAGUUCUUUUUUUCGGAGCUGGGGACCGAACCCAGGGCCUUACGCUUCCUAGGUAAGCGCUCUACCACUGAGCUAAAUCCCCAGCCCCCCAAAUAUGAUUUUUUAAAACAACAAUAACAAAAUAAACAAAAAACUAACCCUGCAUUUUGAGGACGUCCCAAGAACCCAGGGCUGAAGUGCAUGGAAGACCUCAGGAAUGCACACCAGGCUGGUGAGGACUAGUGAUGAACCGAACAGGUUUGAAACACCUGAAGAGGAAGAAGGAUAAUACACAGGAACAAAGGGUGGCAGCGUGUCACCUGGGCAGAGAUUUAAAUUAGAAGACAAAGGGGCCUCAAGGAAGACACAUCAAAGGAAGCUCGGGGGCUGCAGGGAACAAUUCAGAGUGUAAAUUUGGAAUUAGUUUGAAUAGGGAAUGAAGAAUUCUGGAAAUAAAUGCUAUAUGGAAAGAUUAAAAGUAGCUUAAGAUACUUUGUUUGUAUAAAUUGAGUGUUUAGGACCAAAGCAACAUAUUUUAAGCUCCUAGGCACCUAGAUGUUCAAUGGGACUUAACAGACGGUGUCAUCUGUUCCUGGAACUCUGGCGAGCUGCUUUUGGAACAACUGAAGAUCAGGAAAUGUAUGUGGUACUGGUUCUGUGUUGAUGGCCCCCUACCUCUGUCUAGCAACCCAGUCUCUGUCUUCUAGAGACAGAUUCCCUGGAACGUCUUCCUAGGUUUGAACCCAUAAGAGGCGAGAUCUGUCCUACUCCUGUUUCUCUGCUGGGCCUUGGUUUUGGUUCUUCUCUGUGAUUAGCAGCCUCCCUUCUGUGGCUUUCAGCUAGCAACACACACCUUGCUUUUCAGAUGGUAUUUCCCCUGAGUGCUUGUCCGUCACUGGUUGAUUUAAUUCUGAACACUUAUCUGUAAAUAAACCCUUCAUUAAAUGUUCUCUUUAAAAAUUUUAAAGUUUUGUAUGUAUGAGUGUUUUGCGGGCAUGCAUGUAUAUUUGUGUACUAGAUCCAGGCUGGUGCCAGUGGAGAGCAUGAGCGGGCAUCAUGUUCCCUGGAGUGGGAGUCACACAUAGUUAUAUCCCACCGUGUGGGUGUUGGGAAUCAAAUGUGGGUCCGAUGCACAAGUGCUCUAAACCACUGAGUCACCUUGUAGUCCCUAUUAAAUGGUAUUCAAAUUAAAGCUUUGGCUGUGUUGUUGUUUUCUCUUGUUAAAAUGAACAUUUGCUAAUUGUGAGCAUCUGCUCCUAGUACAUGUUCUCAAGGAACAUAAGAGCGACAUUUGUGAAAAUCUUACCAAAUACCUCAUUUCCACUUUGUUUUAGUAUUACAGUAGACGUGACAAAUGCCAAAGUUUUACAGUUUGUGCACAUGUUAAUAGCCCUUGAAUCUGUUUCCACCUGGAACUUAUACCUAAACCUCUGUGUUAACCCAACCCAAAAAGUUUAUAAAGCCUUGUGCUACUUCCGAGCCGGCUAAGCAACCUACAGAAAACGUGGGAUUACCUAUGCAUGACUAAAGACGACAAUUAAAAAGGAAGAAGUCGUUUCCAAAGUAUGAGGGAACUUUCACAUAUUUUCACAUGGAGGUUGGCUCAUUUUUAAGCAUGCUUAGUUUCUGGUCAUGAUACAAAUUUAAACAAGAUUAUGGACAGGAAUGCUUAUCGAUAUUCCAAAGUUAAAUAAAGGUGAACUAUCACUGGA